AGCGAACGCUGGCGGCAGGCCUAACACAUGCAAGUCGAGCGGCCGUAGCAAUACGGCAGCGGCAGACGGGAGAGUAACACGUGGGAACGUGCCCUUCAGUUCGGAACAACCCAGGGAAACUUGGGCUAAUACCGGAUACGCCCUUACGGGGAAAGAUUUAUCGCUGAAGGAUCGGCCCGCGUCUGAUUAGCUAGUUGGUGGGGUAAUGGCCCACCAAGGCGACGAUCAGUAGCUGGUCUGAGAGGAUGAUCAGCCUCACUGGGACUGAGACACGGCCCAGACUCCUACGGGAGGCAGCAGUGGGGAAUAUUGGACAAUGGGCGCAAGCCUGAUCCAGCCAUGCCGCGUGGGUGAUGAAGGCCCUAGGGUUGUAAAGCCCUUUCGGCGGGGAAGAUAAUGACGGUACCCGCAGAAGAAGCCCCGGCUAACUUCGUGCCAGCCGCCGCGGUAAGAC
rnacentral:rRNA from 1 species